GUUGAUUCUGAAAUAUUGUAUGAGGUAUUCCGAGAGUGUUUCAAGAGCAAAGGAAGAUUUAAGAAUGCGUACCGUAUUUCCUCCAGUAUUCCUGCGUGACGGGAAUCCCUAUGGGAUCUCUGUGAAAUAUCUCCAUGCCGUUGCCAUCAAUUGCCAUGCUCAUCGGUCGACUGAAUGCACAUUUAAGAAAAAAGAACCAUAAGCAAGACGUCUGGAGUCCAUCAUGCCAUUCUAACAAUGUAAUUCUUACAAAGUAAUUGGAUAAUUUAUUAACUAGUAAAGUAGGUAGAUUUGUCAAGGGUACAGAAUUAGAUGAAUUUCAUACAGGUCGGUCCAUUAAGUGCACGUGUAAGAAAAAAGAACUGUAAACAAGACAUAUGGAGCUCCUGAUAUCAUUCUAAGAAACAAAGUAAUUGGGUUAUGUUAUAAUUUCGAAAAUUUGAAAAUAAAUUCCAGUGACUCGUGAAUAUCCCUGACGUGUUUAACAAAGUUUUAGUUUGAGGAUCCACGAGAAGCAGACGCGAGCAGAGUCGACAUAUAUUCGUCACAAUUGACACGAUUGACCCGCAGGGGUUCUCAACUGGACGCCCAUACUGGAAACCGGUUUGACGGGUUCGUAUAUACAAUGGUACAUUCCAAAAGAGUGGUGCGCUGACCGCUUAGGCUCAUAAACUCGGAGGAAGCUACGUGCUCCAAGCUUUUUCAAUAAAAUUAAAUCAUCCGCACUCAUUGUUUCAGCUUUUCCACCCACACGAUGGAGCAUUUAAGCACCGUCUUGGUCCCUACUUUGAAUGUUAAUCAUUUAAAGACAGCAGAAAUAAAUGAAGAGUUCUCAACGUCGAUAUAAAGAGGAUUCAUCCAGUUUUUAAGUGACAUAUCAUUACUGGGAAGCAACAGCGAGAUAAAACAGUAUCACUCUUUAUUACUUUAUCGUUUCUCAUUUUGUAAUGAAGCAUGUCUUACUUUAAAGCUACUUCAACUUUAACUAUUAAGAAUUCUUUACUUAAUUAUCUCGAUACUGAUGUCUCUAUUAAUUAAGAUCUGAUCUCAUCGUGGAAUUAAUAUGAGACUCCAUAGAAAAAAAUGGGAAUAAAAUUUACACAGAGACUCACUUUGUUAAAUACAAUACAAAUUAAAACAUCGUCUUCGACUAGCUCCUAGAAACAGAUCAUUAGUUGCCUGUGGAUAUCAUUGAAGGAGAAUACUGUACAUCUGUUCAACUGGAUCUCCCACUCAGUAUUAAUCAAGAGCACUCAAAUUAGAAUUUCAAGCUUUACGUAACAGCUCUGAGAACACAAUUCACGCCCGCUUGAUUUAUAAAAGAUGUCAGGAAACGGCGUUUACGCGGCGACGCAACAGAAUCAAAUGAUUGCUUACGAACAAUAGCUGAAAUGCAUUAUGCAACAUUGAAGGCUCUUGAAACAAUUUUCGCCUGGUGCACUCAUCGGUGCUACUGUUUCAACGGAUUGCCAUCCGAUCGAGAUCUCCCCUCUCGUCUCCUUAUACUCUCAGUUAUACGCAAUAAGUUAUUGUAAAAUAUCUUCUAAAAUUUGUAAAAUGAAAAUGUUGUUGUUCGGUACUUUUUCCCUUUUAUUUUUAAGAGGAUUAAGAUUAGAGGUUCCUAAUGGUCGAUAAUGUCUCAUAGCGCGAUGGAGACCUCUAAAAAUAGUCAUUUCUCCAACGAAAUUACAUUUUAUCAAGCGUCAGCUGUCCUUAGGCCUCCCUUCCGGGCUUAUCUCUGACCCUCGUACAAGAAUAUGCAGUUAUCUGAUCCGAUCGAAUACCCUUACACCGAAACCAAACGCUAUCACGGGAUAGGUCAGCUGAGACGUUUGGCAAGGGACCUCGCGGAGGCCUCCCUUCACAAAUGAAGACGAAAUUCCCAAGAAGAGGAGUCCUCUGUCGAUUUUGGCGUCUAAAAUUUUCUACAAAAUUUAUUUUUCACUUCCAUGGUGAACAUGAAGCAUUCUUUGUUAAGUAACAUAUAGGAGCAGCUCGUAUCAUUUAUCAGAAAGGAAUUGCUAAAGUUGGAGUAAACCAAGGUGAAAAUCUGUUCAGGCUCGAGAGAGUGGACGAAAUAUUUUCCUUUUUAAUUAGUCGAUGGUCUUUUUCCAACUGGCCUGUAUUUCUCCGAGCUUGUCAUCGCCGCUGAUGUCUCGUUUUUGCUGCAACCGGUCGCUAGUUGAGAUGUGCAACGCGAUGUAACCCAAGCUUCUCUGCAGACGAGCGCGGCUGCCUGGCGCACGUGCGACGAUAAACGUUAGGAAACGCCGGCCAGAGAUUCCUGGGAGAUUCGUUUCUGUGUUAUUUUUCGAGUAACACGCUCGUAUCUUAUCGGCCAAGUAAAAAGUGACCCCUCGACUAGCUACUUAUUGAAUAAUAUCAGGCUACAUUUCAUCUACGCGUGUCUCUGCGUGUAUUAAACUCGGUCAAGGCACCAGGCUGCCUUUGGAAACGGCGUGAAAACCCCUGCACGCGGGCCAGGGAUGAAUUACACAGCGAAUAAAACCUCUGUAACAUAAUACACUGUCAGAAUACUUUACAAUUGCUAUUAUUUCUAUAAACGCGUUUGCUCGACCUUUUAAUCUGGUUUCUUUGAUUAAUGUAUUUCUUAAGACACUUCCAAUCGAUAGAAUUCUACUUGCAGGAACAAAGAACCGACUGGAUACGUUCCCGAGCGAUUCUGGACGAUGUCUAUGGUCAGUAUUCGCGUUCAAUGCGACGAGUCAAGGAAAUAAACGAAGCGUGGUCGAGCAAGUGCCACGCGAAAUUAAAAAAAAAAAGUCAAGGAUACGAGAGAAAGUUGCUACCAGAGAGUAAUAGGGACCUUGUGCUGGUUCAACGUCA